CAUGAAGUAUGUCAAGAAUUACUAUAUAUAUCUCAGAAUAUAGAGUUUUACAAAAAGCAAAUUGAUUAGAAUUAAAAUUGGUCUAUUCUGUUAAAAACAAAGUCUUUUGCAAGAAAAAAAUUGGUUUAAAAAUAAAAAAGAACGGAAGGACUCCCCCCCCCCCCACCCCCGGUCGGGACAACAAACAGUAAGUCCAAAUACAGAAACACUACAAUAUAAUAAACUGAAUCUGAAUGAGAAAAAAUGUCGCCAUUAAAACAAUUAUGUUUCUUUUGCUGUGCAUGCCUGCACUGCACACCCUCUAUGUCAUUGUACUUUUUCCUGUAUGUAUUUGUCAACAAAUUCACAGGGUUACAUCCUGAAUUUCAGUUUGGAUAUGGUUUAUGCUUCCAUUUUGAAAUGCCAUUUGAGAAUACUGUCAAUACAGAUUGCAAAUGUAGUUCUGAGAAUGCUAUUUUAUAUGAGCUUUUUCUGAGCAAAAAUCACAAUCUGCAACUGGAUAAUCAUUGCAGGUUUUGUCGAACAAGAAAGAGAGGUUCAAUUGGACGAGCCCUUGUUCAAGAGUUUCUUUUUGAGGUCAGCUGCAAAUUUGAUGCCAUAGAUAUAAAAUUGAUUGUGAUGACAAACAGGAAAAAAAUUACAUGGGGGCUCAUGGCGUUUUUUGCCCCUGAAAUGCCCUACAGAGCCAUGGAAACCUAACAAAGUGCCCCUGAAAUGCCCUACAGAGCCAUGGAAACCUAACAAAGUGCCCCUGAAAUUCACAUAGGCCAGUAUUCUGAAGUCGGAUUUAAAGUUGUGGUUUAAAGUGAUUGGUUAACAUUGGUUUGACUUUUAAAAAAUCUGAGCUAGAAGGUCACACUUGUCACCUGUGUCUGUGAUAUGUUACAAAAAUGAAGCCCAGAAAAAAUUGCGUUCAAAAAUAAUUAUUUAUUGCUUCAAAAAUUGAAAUAUAAAGUGACCGAAAACACCAUCUUAAUGUCGGAAAGUGGAAUUUUCAUUUAGGUUGCUUAAGAAGAAUGUGCCUAAUUUGCAUAUUAUUUUCGUACAGGUGUUUGGAAUUCUCUUGAUCGGCCGGAUCACUGGAUAGGGUUAGGAUGAUCGAUGUAUGUACACUCGAAAAAUAUAAUUCUAGUUAUUUUCUAAUCCUUGUUAUGUAUUUUAAAGGAUUUUAAGGAUUUGUUUUCUCGUAAUAUUGAGUGAAAACAAUAUAUAUACUUAUAUCUUUUCAUAUUGGCUGUUUUGAAGUUUAACAAAUCCUUAGCGGAAUGAUAUUUUUUGGGUGGUUCCGCGACUCCACUGCUUCUUGGCAUUUUACGUUAGGUAGAUUAUUGCACGUCCUGGUUCUGGUGCAGGUCGGACUGCAAUCGAAGCAGGCCUGGGAAAGGGCUGAUGUAAGUGUCGUUUUGUCUUAUUUUUGCAUAGAAUUACAGUAAAAUGUAAUUAAUUUAAUAACUAAUCGUUUCUAUACUAUCAUGGACAAAAUUAUGAGAAAAGAAUGACUUGUUUGAAGAUUGAAUUUAGUCACUUUUACUUUCAUAACUUUGGCAAAGCAAGUGUAUCUCGGUCAAGUUCAAAGACGAGUUGUAACUUACAAAUUAUGAGGAUAUCUACUGGUUUACUUUUUGUGCUAGACAUUGUUGGGAAUAAUGAAUAUAAGUAAUACUUGAUAUUUGAAAGGUCAGAAAUUUAGGAUUACUUGUUGAAUUGAAGAGAAAGUUUUAGUAGAUUAUUUGAAAGAUAACAUAGAGGGCGUUCUAUAGUAAACAUUGUAUUUCAAGAUGGCGGCGCCCAUAGUAAGGUAUGCUUCUAGCUGACCUCGUUAUAUUAUAUGAUGUGAUGAUUUAUGAUUAUGGUUCUGAACUAAGAAGUUAGAUCUAUGACUUCUUUGCUUACUGAACAUACACAUAUUGUUUGUAGACUUAAAUUACUCUUUUAAUUGCAGUAUCAGAUGAGUAAACUGUAAUAGAGAAUGGUUGUGUUAAGCUCAAUAGACAGAAAUAUGCAGUUUGACUCCGUUCGAUAGAGCUACUUGCUCUAUCAAGUACUUGGGUCUUGAUCAAAACUUUGGAAUUAAUGAACAUAGUUUUUACUAAUUGGAUUAUUUAUUCGUGCAAAAGAAAACAUUGAUAUUUGUGAGUAUAUCAUUACCAAUGAUUAUCCACACUGAAAGUAGUAGAAUUGUUUGAGAAAUAUAAUAUUUUUAAAGCUAUUAAUUCAGGGAAUUCUAAGCAAUUUUAUCAUGAGUUGGAGUUAUGAUUAUCUUAUGGUUACGAUUGUUGCUUUCUUUAAUUAUAGCUGGUCCGACUCAUUUGAUCCUCAUCGAGAUUUCAAAUAAUGUAGAAGCUGCUACUCCUUUGUGGUAUCCUGGGUGAUGUAGGUGGUGUGUAACCACCAGUAGCCUCUGACUUUGGGGUUGUUGUUUUGUUACUCCUUUCUUUUUGUUGGUUUUGGCAAACCUCAAUAAAGUCAAAGAAGCUCA